rnacentral:rRNA from 1 species
GACAGAGGGGGCAAGCGUUGCUCGGAAUCACUGGGCGUAAAGGGCGUGUAGGCGGGCGCGUGAGUCGGUCGUGAAAGCCUUCGGCUCAACCGAAGAAGGGCGGCCGAUACUGCGUUCCUUGAGGGGUGGAGAGGAGACUGGAAUUCCCGGUGUAGCGGUGAAAUGUGUAGAGAUCGGGAGGAACACCGGUGGCGAAGGCGGGUCUCUGGCCACACCCUGACGCUGAGGCGCGAAAGCGUGGGGAGCAAACGGG